GUUGACCUCGGAUCAGGUAGGAAUACCCGCUGAACUUAA
rnacentral:rRNA from 264 species